AAAUCGUUGACUGACAGCAAACUUGUCGAUACCGGCAACCCUGCUGUACCGCGGCGUCGGGCGACGACUCUGCGACAGGUACGGGCUACGGGAUAGUCAGUCACCCCGUUUGUCCAGUGUGAAUUCCAACUCCAGUCUGACUUCAUCUCCUUUCGAAACAAGCAGCAGAAAUGCAGGGGUAGAAGCUCACGCCAUGUCCAAAUCCAAAUCCAAAUAGCUUCGCCUCCGAUAUGUGGAGGAUCCUACUCUGAUAGGAGGAGAAGGAAGCAAAAGAGGGAGGCAGCAGAAGCACCAUGGUUUCCCUCUGGCACACCUCCUUCAUUGUCCUUGUGCUCCUAUUCCUUGGAGGAUCCCAUGCCAACCCAGCCGCCCGCCGCCACGGUCAGCUGGAUGUAAACCACAAGAAGCAGCCACUACAGACAUCCAGACCUUACAACAUUGCCCACAGGGGUUCCAAUGGCGAAAUACCCGAAGAGACAGCUGCGGCAUAUUUGAGGGCAAUCGAGGAAGGUGCAGACUUCAUAGAGACUGAUAUACUUGCAUCAAAGGACGGACAUCUGAUAUGUUUCCAUGAUGUAAUCCUGGAUGCCACGACGGACAUCGCGAACCGUACCGAGUUUGCUGGCAGGAAGAGAACUUAUGAUGUCCAGGGAUUUAAGUUGACUGGGUGGUUUAUCGUGGAUUUUACUUUAAGAGAACUGAAAUCACUGAGGGUGAAACAGCGCUACAAUUUCAGGGAUCAACAGUAUAAUUGGAAGUACAAUAUUCUUACAUUUGAUGAGUUUAUCUUGAUUGCACUUCAUGCUGACAGGGUGGUCGGAAUAUACCCAGAGAUCAAGAAUCCUAUUUUCAUCAACCAGCAUGUCAAGUGGUCAGGCGGUAAGAAGUUUGAGGACAAGUUUGUCGGGACGCUUCUCAAGUAUGGCUACAAAGGCAAAUAUAUGUCUAAAGAUUGGCUCAAGAAGCCACUAUUCAUCCAAUCCUUUGCUCCAACUUCACUAAUUUACAUCUCAAACAUGACAAAUGCUCCAAAACUGCUUCUAAUAUACGACACCACAGUUCCAACUCAAGAUACCAACCAGUCAUACUAUGAGAUAACGUCGAACGGCUAUCUCGCGUUCAUAAGGAAGUAUGUAAUUGGGAUUGGGCCAUGGAAGGAUACAAUUAUCCCCCCAAAGAAUAACCAUCUAGGCCUUGCAACCGAUCUUGUGGCACGGGCACACGCUCUGAAUCUUCAGGUGCAUCCAUACACAUUCAGAAAUGAGAACUCCUUCCUGCACUUCAACUUCCAUCAAGACCCUUAUGCUGAAUAUGAGUACUGGCUCAAAGAGAUUGGAGUCGACGCGCUGUUCACCGAUUUCACCGGCAGCUUGCACAAGUACCAGGAGUGGACAGCUCCACACCAAAAGAAGGAAAAGAAGUGCAGAGGAACUCCUGCAUGAGAUCGCCAACACGCUGAAGGUUGAUGUUCACUAACCUUAGGUUGCCAAGUCUGUAUACCUCCUCCCUUUCAGGAGCUAUUUCAUUUUUGUCAGUACCGAGAAAAUGAACUGGUUAAUACCAUUCUAUGUAAUUGUUUCCAAUAAAUCACGGGAAGUGCCAACUGUAGAGCAUCAUAGAGUUCGAAAAAAAUUCAUUUGGUGAAAAUUUUCUUUCCAUUUCUGCGGGACAUGCCAACGAUUUUUAACAUGGAUAAUUAGGUGUGCGGUCUUAUUUGUUGCCUACUAACCUUGAAUAAGGGUCACUCUUCCUU
rnacentral:rRNA from 1 species